UACGUAGGGUGCGAGCGUUGUCCGGAAUUAUUGGGCGUAAAGCGCACGUAGGCGGAUUGUUAAGUCGGGGGUGAAAUCCUGGAGCUCAACUCCAGAACUGCCUUCGAUACUGGCGAUCUUGAGUCCGGGAGAGGUGAGUGGAACUCCGAGUGUAGAGGUGAAAUUCGUAGAUAUUCGGAAGAACACCAGUGGCGAAGGCGGCUCACUGGCCCGGUACUGACGCUGAGGUGCGAAAGCG
rnacentral:rRNA from 1 species